UACCAGCAUCACCAUCCUGUUCCUCUUUGUUUUACCACGAGGCAGACAAAGCCAGCACCAUCAAAAUCAGAGAAUGUCAGGACUCAACAGAACAAAUGCAGAUAUAUGCAUUGGAGGUAUCUGAAGCUAAGGAGAAUCAUCCUAACCUUUAUUACAGUUCCUGUAUAAUUUAAAAUUCAUGAGGAGUUCUGGCAGUGAAGACUUGAGCCUCAAAUCUGAGACCACACUCCAUUCACACACCAUUCAAUUGGCCCGUAUAUAAGUAGCCUAGGAGCUUUCUCCCUGCCAGGUAAAUAUCCUAAACUGCUAACUGGCUGAGGAUUUCUCACUUGCCUCUGAAUGAAAACUUGUAUUCCUGUAGGCCACGCAAACUAUCUUCAUGAAGAGAGAAAGCAAACACUCUCAUAAAGAAUGUAUUUUUGCUUGAUGACUGUUUGCCCAGAAACGGAGCUACUAUACAAUUACAGUUAUGGUGGAACACUGGAACUUGUUGCCCAGGGAGGUGGUGGAGAUCCCAUCCCUGAAGACAUCCAAGGUCAUGUUUAAUAGAACUCUGAGCACUCUGAUCAAGUUGGAGAUACCCCUGCUGACUGCAGGGGUGUCAGACAAGAUCUUUAAACUGUCCCUUCCAACCCAGUGCAUUCUAUGAUUCAAUGUUGUACAAAGCAACACAAAUACAAUUUCUCUACAACUCUGAA